rnacentral:rRNA from 1 species
ACAGUAACGGAGGCGCCCAAAGGUUCCCUCAGAAUGGUUGGAAAUCAUUCGUAGAGUGUAAAGGCAGAAGGGAGCUUGACUGCGAGACUUACAAGUCGAGCAGGGACGAAAGUCGGGCUUAGUGAUCCGGUGGUUCCGUAUGGAAGGGCCAUCGCUCAACGGAUAAAAGCUACCCUGGGGAUAACAGGCUUAUCUCCCCCAAGAGUUCACAUCGACGGGGAGGUUUGGCACCUCGAUGUCGGCUCAUCGCAUCCUGGGGCUGGAGUUGGUCCCAAGG